rnacentral:rRNA from 1 species
ACAAUGGAGAGUUUGAUCCUGGCUCAGGAUGAACGCUAGCUACAGGCUUAACACAUGCAAGUCGAGGGGAAACGAUAUUGGAAGCUUGCUUCCGAUAGGCGUCGACCGGCGCACGGGUGAGUAACGCGUAUCCAACCUGCCCACCACUUGGGGAUAACCUUGCGAAAGUAAGACUAAUACCCAAUGAUAUCUCUAGAAGACAUCUGAAAGAGAUUAAAGAUUUAUCGGUGAUGGAUGGGGAUGCGUCUGAUUAGCUUGUUGGCGGGGUAACGGCCCACCAAGGCGACGAUCAGUAGGGGUUCUGAGAGGAAGGUCC